GCCCCAUUAGCCCGUGCGCACCUUUGCUGUGCGGGGAAAUAAGUUGGAGGUUCUCGAAGAAGAGGAGGCCACCUAGCAGGUGAAAAAGCUCAGGGCAACCCUUGCUGACGUGUCCAGCCAGAUAACCAAUCUGAUGGAGAUGUUCGAGUCCUGCGCUCAUCUCUUAGAGUGAGCGGGCCCCACCCUCAAAGAGAACAAGAGGCUUCGGGACUUGGUGGCGGCGCUCGAAGGGUUCCUGGCUGGAGCCCACGAGGAGAACUCAUCGCUGAAGAACCAGCUAAGCGAGGCCGAAACUCAUCUUUUCAUGGCCAAGGAAGAGAAGAGAGUAUUGGAGAUAGAGCUCGACUACGCCCGGAAGAUAGUGGAGAAAAUGAUCAAGGAGCUUGCUGAUGUACGUGCCGGCUCCCAGGCCUAAUUCUGCGACUAUGACUUGCGCCUUGACACCGAGCAGAACAAGGUCAAGAUCAUUCCUGAAGGAGUGAGGCUGUUGCGCUGGACUGCGUUGAUCUCGUGCUGGGAUCUCUUUGACACGCGGGGCCCCAGGCCUGACGAGUUCGAGGAGAGAUGUCAAGGAUCCUUCGACCACUUCAAGGAGUUCAUGUGCGAUGUUGCUCGCUCAGCUGCCGGCCACGUGCUGGCUGUUGUCAAGUCACUGUAUCCGAGGGUGAACCUGGAGAUGAUCAGCGAAGGCUUCGCCCAAGGGGUGUCGGAUGUAAAGAUCCCAACCCUUCAGGAAGAAGUGUCAGAGCCAGCGGUCAAGCUAGCUGAUGACCUGGACCUGUUCGGUGACAAGGGAGAUGCAGAGAAAUAGAUUAGGGAGAAUUUCUUAAUGUAUCUCCUUAACUCGCUGAGCAGUUUGUAUAGAAAACAAU